UUCCGCUUCAAGCCUUCCUAACAGGAGGAAUAAGUUCAUCUCACUACUCCGGUUGAACCUGAAAUAGGAGCUCUACCUCCUGGGCUCUGCAACCAUGGAUGUCUGCACAGAAAGCAGGUCUGCGAAACAUGAAGAACAUUAAGAAGUGAAAUGCAGAUACUUUCUGAGUUAUAUGAAUAUCGACUCCUGCACUGCAAGUUGGCCCCAGCUUUAAUCUGAGAAGUGGUUGGAGCUCGUCUGAUCUCCCAUGCCCUGUUCAGGUACUGGGGUACCCCUCCUCCCUGCUGGGGAAUAAAGUGGCUACAGUGAUGGCAGGGCGGGGUAGGAACCGAGCAGGGUGACCGGAGAGGUCUAAGGUCUCCUCCAGAGUGAUCCCUCUCCCCCACAGUCUGAGGUGUUGGAUAACGCUGAUGCAGAGAGGAAUAAGAAGAUGACUAAAUCACCUGCAGGUGACCAUGAUGGCUGAGCACUAGGCACUGAUCCUGAUGCUGCCGUGACUUCAUGAGGAUGUCUCACUUCAAGGCAUCAAUCUGCCCAUGAGAUCUAAUCCGAUGUCCUUGGGAUCCAGAGGCUCCAUGUUCCUGCUGUGAGGUGCAGUGCGUUGAAGGCAGCAGGAAGAUGGUGAAGGAGGACGUAGCGACUGGACAAAGUGCUAUAUGAGUACAGUCUGAGUUCUCUGUGAAGGAUUUCUUACAAACUGACCAGCUGAACGGUUUUUCUCUAAUUGUUGAAAUAAACAUCUUACACGGAA